GUUGAACGCUGGCGGCGUGCCUAAUACAUGCAAGUCGAGCGAACAGAUGAGAAGCUUGCUUCUCUGAUGUUAGCGGCGGACGGGUGAGUAACACGUGGGUAACCUACCUAUAAGACUGGGAUAACUCCGGGAAACCGGGGCUAAUACCGGAUAAUAUUUUGAACCGCAUGGUUCAAUAGUGAAAGACGGUUUCGGCUGUCACUUAUAGAUGGACCCGCGCCGUAUUAGCUAGUUGGUAAGGUAACGGCUUACCAAGGCGACGAUACGUAGCCGACCUGAGAGGGUGAUCGGCCACACGGGAACUGAGACACGGGCCAGACUCCUACGGGAGGCAGCAGUAGGGAAUCUUCCGCAAUGGGCGAAAGCCUGACGGAGCAACGCCGCGUGAGUGAUGAAGGUCUUCGGAUCGUAAAACUCUGUUGUUAGGGAAGAACAAAUUUGUUAGUAACUGAACAAGUCUUGACGGUACCUAACCAGAAAGCCACGGCUAACUACGUGCCAGCAGCCGCCGUAA
rnacentral:rRNA from 1 species